rnacentral:rRNA from 1 species
AUUGAACGCUGGCGGCAGGCCUAACACAUGCAAGUCGAGCGGCAGCGGAAAGUAGCUUGCCACUUUGCCGGCGAGCGGCGGACGGGUGAGUAAUGUCUGGGAAACUGCCUGAUGGAGGGGGAUAACUACUGGAAACGGUAGCUAAUACCGCAUAACGUCGCAAGACCAAAGAGGGGGACCUUCGGGCCUCUUGACAUCAGAUGUGCCCGGAUGGGAUUAGCUAGUAGGUGGGGUAACGGCUCACCUAGGGGGCGAUCCCUAGCUGGUCUGAGAGGAUGACCAGCCACACUGGAACUGAGACACGGUCCAGACUCCUACGGGAGGCAGCAGUGGGGAAUAUUGCACAAUGGGCGCAAGCCUGAUGCAGCCAUGCCGCGUGUAUGAAGAAGGCCUUCGGGUUGUAAAGUACUUUCAGCGGGGAGGAAGGUGUUGAGGUUAAUAACCUCAGCAAUUGACGUUACCCGCAGAAGAAGCACCGGCUAACUCCGUGCCAGCAGCCGCAGUAA